AACCGAUUUCUGGUAUGCCAGGAU
rnacentral:siRNA from 1 species